UACAGAGGGGGCAAGCGUUAUUCGGAAUUAUUGGGCGUAAAGGGCGCGUAGGCGGCUUUGCAAGUGACGGGUGAAAUCCCUCGGCUUAACCGAGGAACUGCCUGUCAGACUGCAUGGCUCGAGACCAGGAGAGGUGAGUGGAAUUCCCAGUGUAGCGGUGAAAUGCGUAGAUAUCUGGAGGAACACCGGUGGCGAAGGCGGCAUCCUGGACCGAGAUUGACGCUGAGGCGCGAAAGCUAGGGGAGCAAACGGG
rnacentral:rRNA from 1 species